GUUGCAGUGCUACUUUCACCAGACAUGGUGAAUGCCAUAACACGGCUGACAGAGAAAAGACAAGACUGUGGUGUUCUGGCAGAAAACAUAUUCCUGUUUGCCAGACCUCAUUGUCUGACUCCCUACAGAGGACAGGACUGUUUGAGGAUUUAUGCGACUGAAUGUGGGGCUGAAAACCCUGAACACCUACGUUCAACGCAGUUGCGCAAACAUGUCGCAACUUUGUCUCAGAUCUUAAACCUCAAGAAUCACGAGUUAGACCAAGUUGCCAACUUCCUAGGUCAUGAUAUUCGUGUUCAUCGGGAAUAUUAUAGACUUCCAGAGGCUACUACCCAGCUUGCCAAAAUAUCCAAACUACUGAUUGCCAUGGAGAAAGGGUCUCUCAAAAGCCUUCAAGGCAAAACACUUGAAGAGAUUGAAAUCAAAGAUAACCUACAGUUGACAGAUUCAAGUGAAGAAAGUGAGGUCGGAGCGGAGCGUGAGGAGGUCGGAGCGGAGCGUGAGGAGGUCGGAGCGGAGCGUGAGGUCAAUGAAGGAAAUCUUGUAUAUCCACAGAUUGAUUCUAUAGAUACUAGAAUGAUGAAGAAAGUUGUCAAGGAACCUCCAGGUAUGUGUUUGUCAUCAUUUAUUGAAGCUUUUACCUUUGUAACUACUUCCUAGACACUUUUGCUAUCUUUGCUAUCUUUAUGUAAAAAAAAAAAAAUAAUAAUUCAUUACUAUCAUUUUUCCAGUGAUUGUUACCUUUGUCCAAAUGGUAAUUUAAAGAAAGUCAAGGAUCUUUCUAAAGACCAGCUCAACAGAAUAGAAAGGUCAGUUUUGGAGGAUGGUCAGGUAGGAAAUGCUAGUUUGAACAGGUGAUUUUGAGCUGUGAUUUAAAGUUCUAGAGAGAAUCUAAUGAGCAGAGGAAGUUCCAGAGGGUGCAAUUAGCAGUGGCAAAGGAUUGUACCCUCAGAUUUAUGAUUUUGAUGAUGGGGGUAAGGAGGUUAGUGUUAGCAGUGUUGUGGGAGAGUGACAGUAAAGACAAUCCCUCAGGGUGGCGGGGGCGAGGUUGUUGAAGGCUUAAAAGUUGAUUAGGAGUUUGCACUCAAUACUAUAGUCAGUGUGCAGCCAGUAAUGUUCUUUUUAGGAUGUGGUGAUAUAGUCUCUAGAGUGAGUGCAGUAGAGUAAGGGGGCAGCAGAGUUCUUAAUAGAUUGCAGUUCUUGGAGGUGAGUUUGGGGAAAGCAAAGAUGCUGGGAUUCUUUUUGAGGGUGGAGAGAAUGGAUAGGAUUAGGAAGAACAAUAUCAUUGGGACUGCACAUGUUGGAAAAAAUGUCUACAUUGUUCUACAUUGGCCAGGUUGAGGUUGUGUUGGGCAUGUGCAAACAAGGGACAGUGAGGAAGGUUUGUUGAAGGAUGUUAGAAAGGAAGCUGCCCUGCAGGAGACAGAAGGAGAUGAGAUUAAUCAAGAGAGAUGAAAAUAGUUGGUGUGUGGAGGGCUGAUCUACUACUCUUUAUUUACCUGGUUUGCGCUUCUGAAGUAUUCCCUCUACGCUCUCAUCCUCUUUCUACAGUAAAUCAGUGGUGAGUGGAAAGUUGACCAGUCACCGGAGUAGUGAUGGGUCGUUCGCGAACGAAAUGGCUCUUAGAGCCGGUUCUUUGAAGUGAACGAUGCGAGCCAGCUCCUUAUUGGGAGCCGUGGAUUUUUUUUUUUUACUUUCUCUUGCCCUCUCUCUCACUUUUUUCGCUGCACGUCAGCCUUGUGUUUGCGCUGAGUAGAGACGGGAGGGGCGCAAACAGAGCCUUGCGUUUGCACCCCUCCCGCCUCUGAGCAGAGGGAGGAGCUAGGGGCGGUAGUUACACUCGCAACAGCAGUAGCACACGAAAAGAGCAGCAGGGAGAGAGAGAGAAAGAGAGCCGGGAGCAACAAGAGACAAUGUCGUCACAUUAGAAAGGUGGAGUAAAGAAAAUGAGUGACACCAAGAAAAGAAGCAAAAUCUAGAACCAUUUAAAUUUUACUGACAAUACAUAGUGUAAUGGAGGAUGUCACGUUAAGAGGGAUGGACUUGACCUCCUGACUAUGAAUAAUGAAGAUGAUAAGGUGCUGACUCUAUGAAUCCACAAUCUCAACAGGGUUGUCCGAUAAGAACGGAUGGCUUAUCCACAAAUCCACUGCCACUCAGGUAUCUGUCGUUCACUCAUUUAUUUAGCACGAAGCCGAGGUACACAUCCAUAAUGUGAGUGAGGGGAUUAACAGGCUGUGAAAUGCUAUAUGACGUGUGGUGAAGUGAUGGUGUGGUUUCUGUUGGAAAGAACAUAAAAGUCUUAUAUAAUUAUGUGAACAAAGUGAACUAAAUGUGUAAUAAAACAAUACAAACAAUACUGAGUAGUGGAACAUUCAACCAAAAUAAGGGAGUAUCAACAAAUGCAAAUUUUACUAUUUACAUAAAUCCCAACUAGGCACUUUACACUAGGGCUAACAUGAGAAAUUAGUGACGGUCCCUUAAUGACCGCACGGCAGAGGCUGCUUCGCAGUAAACGGCAGUAACAUUCGGUAAACAAAGUGUGCGCCAAGGAUUUAAACAACGGUGGACAAUGGCCGCAGCAAAGAACAAACAGGAUACAACACAGAAACUUACAGUCUCAUGGACGCACACUGCUAACAGCAUUAGAAGGAACGAAAAUCCACACGCACAAAGUAAAAAUGGAGCAGCUUCUCUGGAAAAUGCAAGGAGGGUCAAAAGCAUCCUUGGUCUCCCACGGAGGUUGCUGCGAUAAUGAAGCAUUUUGGCGAACAUAUCAAAAAGGAAAACUGGCCACUAUUAUCGAAUGCCAGCAAUGCAAAACUGCAGAAGAUCCUGCUCUGGCUGGUCGUUCUAUUCAAAACAUCAGAGAUUUUGUGAGGAAUCGGGGCGUGUCGUUGAAGAAAAAAGAAAAUCCUAUGUAGAGGAGUCUACAUAACUCCAAAGUACUUCUUGGAGGAGUUACAAAAGAUAUUUUGUAUGUUUUGGUUUCUCAUUUAUUUAUUUUAGAAUUUUACUAUUAGAAGAUUGGUAAAUUCAUUUUGUUGACACUGUUUUAGUGCAUCUGAUCUAAGAGGACAUAAUUUUAUAUUGCCAGUUAUUUUCAUUUCUGUUAACAAAACAAUCCUGUUUUUGUAAAAUGCACUCAAUUUGUUCCUUUUAUUCACCUGUUGCCCUUUUAAUACACACAAAAUACAUGUUUGUGUAUGUGUAUGGCCUUUGUCCUGUUAAUAAAGUUAGCCCUGACAAUUACUGUUCAUGUCAGGGGGAGGAGCCAAGUUA